GGAGAAGUGGAUAACUUACUGAAAAAUAGGGGCGUGAUAAUGUCUUAAUAUACCAGUAGAUUUUCUCUACUUCAUUGAUUUUAAAUAAUAUUUCACCGGUCUUGGAAACCGGCGACCCGAAAGGGUUCUAGAGUUCGAAUCUCUACGCUUCCGCCA
rnacentral:tRNA from 1 species